GGGGGGGGGGGGAGAAGUGCCCUUUUAGUUGUAAAAUACUACGUGAUAAAUCACAUUUCCAACGAUGCUUUUUCUAGGAAAAUCAUGAGAUUCAGGCAAUUUAUAGUUUAUAUUUGACUUUCGCAUAUUUUAAAGACAGUGUCCUAUAAAUACGUGAAGUAUCGUAAAGUUCCUGAAACCCGAAGCUAUUAUAUAUUUCGAAUUUCCCAAUUUAAUACCCACACUGAAACAAUUAACAUGUAGUACUACAGAUAUACUCGAUAAAUGUAUAGUGUUCUAUACUGAAUUCUACAUAUCAGCAGACAUAGGUAAACA